GGUCCAUGAUGAGCAGUAAAAGGUUUGAGCUUAGACUAUUCCCCCCAGCCGCCAUGUUGGCUCCCAGCAGCCCCUGCUGUUACCCCAGCAUGCUAAAGUUGUGCAGUGCUGGUCCAGGCUCUGCUGACAAGCAGGAUGUGACGUCACAAGCGACCUGUAGGGAGCGUUCACAGGCCGGCUGACUUACAUCCGACACAAGCGAGCACGAAGGAGCGCCAGGCUGGGGCGGGAGAGUCUAAGCGGUGAUCGCACUCUUCUGCUGAGACC